UACGGAGGGGGCUAGCGUUGUUCGGAAUUACUGGGCGUAAAGCGCACGUAGGCGGCUUUGCAAGUUAGAGGUGAAAGCCCGGGGCUCAACUCCGGAAUUGCCUUUAAAACUGCAUCGCUAGAAUUGUGGAGAGGUUAGUGGAAUUCCGAGUGUAGAGGUGAAAUUCGUAGAUAUUCGGAAGAACACCAGUGGCGAAGGCGACUUACUGGACACAUAUUGACGCUGAGGUGCGAAAGCGUGGGGAGCAAACAGG
rnacentral:rRNA from 1 species